UCGAUCCGUGGUGAUAAACGCCCAGUGUAGGAGGCAUGCAUGAUGAAUGAUGUGUGUUUGGAAGACUGAGGUCCAG
ensembl:snoRNA